rnacentral:rRNA from 1 species
AAGCGCUUAUGACCAGACUUGGUCUCGGCUGAUCAUCCGGCGUUCUCGCCGGUGCACUCGGUCGGGUGUCAGGCCAGCAUCGGUUUCCCCGGGGGCAUAAAGGCCCUGGGAAUGUAGCUCUUCCGGGAGUGUUAUAGCCCGUCGCAUAAUACCUCCGGGGGGACCGAGGCCCGCGCAUCUGCAAGGAUGCUGGCGUAAUGGUCAUCAGC